rnacentral:rRNA from 1 species
AUGGCUCAGAGCGAACGCUGGCGGCAGGCUUAACACAUGCAAGUCGAGCGGACCUUUCGGGGUCAGCGGCGGACGGGUGAGUAACGCGUGGGAACGUGCCUUCCGGUUCGGAAUAACCCUGGGAAACUAGGGCUAAUACCGGAUACGCCCUUAUGGGGAAAGGUUUACUGCCGGAAGAUCGGCCCGCGUCUGAUUAGCUAGUUGGUGGGGUAACGGCCUACCAAGGCGACGAUCAGUAGCUGGUCUGAGAGGAUGAUCAGCCACACUGGGACUGAGACACGGCCCAGACUCCUACGGGAGGCAGCAGUGGGGAAUAUUGGACAAUGGGCGCAAGCCUGAUCCAGCCAUGCCGCGUGAUGUGAUGAAGGCCUUAGGGUUGUAAAGCUCUUUUAUCCGGGACGAUAAUGACGGUACCGGAGAA